GACAAGAAAUAACAAUACGGGGCUUAAUGUCUUGUAAUUGGAAUGAUGGGAAUUUAAACCUCUUCCAGAGUAUCAAUUGGAGGGCAAGUCUGGUGCCAGCAGCCGCGGUAAUUCCAGCUCCAAUAGCGUAUAUUAAAAUUGUUGCAGUUAGAGAGCUCGUAGUUGAAUUUCUGCUGCAUUGCAUUUGCUCCUUGACGAGUGUCUGUAUUGCGGCUUAUUUCGGAUUAUGCUUGCAUUUUCCGGAUGUUUACUUUGAGAAAAUUAGAGUGCUCAAAGCAGGCUUUUGCCUUGAAUAGUUUAGCAUGGAAUAAUAAAGUAGGACUUUGGUUCUAUUUUGUUGGUUUUAGGUACCAAAGUAAUGGUUAAUAGGAACAGUUGGGGGCAUUCGUAUUUAACUGUCAGAGGUGAAAUUCUUAG
rnacentral:rRNA from 1 species